rnacentral:rRNA from 1 species
CGAACGGGUGAGUAAUACAUCGGAACGUGUCCGCUCGUGGGGGACAACCAGCCGAAAGGCUGGCUAAUACCGCAUGAGUUCUACGGAAGAAAGAGGGGGACCCGCAAGGGCCUCUCGCGAGCGGAGCGGCCGAUGACUGAUUAGCCUGUUGGUGAGGUAACGGCUCACCAAAGCAACGAUCAGUAGCUGGUCUGAGAGGACGACCAGCCACACUGGGACUGAGACACGGCCCAGACUCCUACGGGAGGCAGCAG